UAAAACAUCACAAAUUUGGUAUCAUAGCCCUGUUAACAACUGAUAACAAAGAAACCGGGAAAGAGUCAGAGGAAAGAUGGAUAGAUUUCUAAAGUGUCUUGUUGGCGUAAUUUUGCUACUCUUCGUUGGUUACUCAGAGGCCACGAGUACUACCACUACCGCAGCUGGGGGAAAUGGAGGGACUGCUAUCACCGGAAGUAUGGUGAUCGUUGCCAUAGUUAUGGCUAUGGGAAAUCUGAUCAUGAACAAAUAACACAGAAACUGUGUUAACUUUGAAUCUUGAAUUUUAAUUCAAGGACUAACACCGAUGGAAUAAAAUCAAAGAAUUAUGACAAUUGUUGCCUAAACCUAUGACCAAUGAAAUAAAAUCAAGUUUUACUGUC